rnacentral:lncRNA from 1 species
GAGGCAAGGGCGUCGCGAGUUAGAGCCCUACCCGACGUGCUGAGCUAGAGGUGCCCUACUGCAGGUAGAUGUUUUGUUUCGAGUUUAUGUAUAUAGUUGACUUAACUCGCUAGUACGAGUAGCCCUGUAUUUUGGUUGUGGACUAUGUAUAUGAAACUCAGUUUGUUUAGCUUUUGUUUCUCUAGCAGCUCUCUACUACUGUUCGUAGUAGUGUUUGAUCUACAGGUACAGCUAUCGCUUCGUAUACAGGGGAAAUUCCUUUGUAUACGGCGGAUUUGUCGGCGCGCCCGAGAAAGUGUAACCCGGGGCGUGACAUAGAGGAUAAACCUAACUAGAUUAGGAUUAAUAUUUAAAUCUAUUAGAGAUUGAUUAAGAUAGAUUUAGAUAUUAAUUGUAGUAGAAAUCCUAAAUAUAUUAGGAUUGGGGUACGUUUUAGUGGAGCCUUAUAAAUAGCUCUUUGUGGGUUUGUUUUUGAGUGAGUACGGGAGAGAGAGAAAAGGUCUCUUGGGUGCCGUACCAGAGAGAGAAAAAGAGAGAGAGAGAGAGUUAUUUAGUGCACCUAGUGCAUGGGUGCGCACGGAUGAUUGUCUUCUUUAUGGGAUUAUAGAAGACGAGAGAAGGGUAGGAGAGAUUCAGAAAGAGAGCUCAGAUUGUAGCUACUCUAUGCAGAAGAGGAGUCAGGUGUAAUCUUCUCUUAUUUAAUGAAUCUUAUUUUACCUGCAUAUUUUUCUCUUUUAUGAUUGUAUCAGCUUUUGCUGAGGAGACGGGUUUAUGGUAAAAACCCGAUUUGACGUUUCCGUUGCGGAAUCCCAACAAUCGAUACCGGAUCCACAGCAGUCGGUAUCGGAGCGGGUUGCGGAUUCACGAGAUCCGGUACCGGGGCGAGUACCGGAUUCCCAACAAGUGGUAUCAGAGCUGAAGGUUACCGAUCUGCGGGAGAGAUCGACGAAGAUGGCCACGAAAUUCGAAAUCGAGAAGUUCGACGGCAAGAACAAUUUCGGAUUGUGGCAAAUUAAAGUACGAGCGAUCCUCGUACAGCAAGAAUUGGACGAGACGUUGAACGGGAAGGAGGCGAAGCCGGCGGAGGUCACGGAUGCGGCAUGGACGAAGAUGGAGCGGAAGGCGCUGAGUACGCUUCAUCUAUUAUUAGCAGAUGAGGUUCUUUACAACGUAGCCAGCGAGACGACACCGGCGAAGUUGUGGAAGAAAUUGGAAGAUCUGUACAUGACCAAAUCCCUGACGAACAGAUUGUAUCUGAAGCAGCGACUGUUUACGUUGCGGAUGCAAGAAGCGGCGAGCCUACAUGAUCAUCUAAAUGAGUUCAACAAGGUGGUGGCCCAGUUGACCAGCAUCGGAGUCAAUCUGGAUGACGAAGACAAGGCGUUGAUCCUACUAUCUUCGCUACCGACGACAUAUGAGCAUCUGGUGACCACGUUGCUUUAUGGCAAGGAGUCCAUAAGCGUGGAGGCGGUCACGGCGGCGCUUCUCUCGAACGAGAUGCGGAAGAUGACUCAGGAGUCCGGCACGCAAAGUCAGGAUGUAGGACUGGUGGUGACUGCGAAGAAGGAGGCGAGAAUAUCGGCGACCGAAUAUCGACAGAAGAAACCGCUAUCUGAGGUAGAAUAUUUUUACUGUCACAGGAAAGGGCAUAUCAAGCGCAAUUGUCGAAAACUUCAGGAUGAUCUGAAGGAGUUAAAGCGACAGAAGGAGCAAACUGUCGUGAACCAGGACGAGACGGUAUCAGCGACGGCGCAGACAGCAGAGUCGGAGAUGAUCGAUUCUGAUGUACUGUAUGCGGCGACCGGAGGUGCGAAAAUUUCGGACGAUGCGUGGGUGCUCGAUUCGGCGUGUUCUUUUCACGUAUGCCCGGAGAAGGAGUCUUUUGCCACCUAUAAGGCGAUCAAAGGUGGAAAGGCACUGAUGGGGAACGGGACAACAUGCAAAGUUUUGGGAGUCGGCACGGUGAAGAUCCGAAUGCACGAUGGGGUCGUGAGGACGCUGACAGGUGUGCGGCACGUUCCUGGAUUGAAGCAGAAUUUGAUCUCGUUAGGCGCAUUGGACUCAAAGGGUUGCGAUAUUUCGGCUUCAGGUGGAGCUAUGAGAGUCCGAAAACGAGAUCGGGUCAUGUGCGAGGCGAACAAGCGUGGCAACUUAUACGUUCUGAACGGAAGCACAGUCAGAACGGGAGCGAAGACGGUUUGGGUUCCAAAAGUUCGCGGAUGUGCAGUUGCUCGAGACGGAGCGACGGAUGCGGCGACAUCGAGCGGAGGAGACAAGCUCAAGGUGGAGCUUGCAUGGUGAGCUCGACGUAGCGGUUGAAAAUUACAAAUCAAACCAAGGUGGAGAAUGUUAGGAUUUGGUUAGAUUUGUAGUUAAAUCCUAUUUGGAUAAGAAUUAAUAUUUAAAUCUGUUUGAGAUAAAUUAAGAUUUAAAUAUUAAUUAGAGGAUAAACCUAACUAGAUUAGGAUUAAUAUUUAAAUCUAUUAGAGAUUGAUUAAGAUAGAUUUAGAUAUUAAUUGGAGUAGAAAUCCUAAAUAUAUUAGGAUUGGGGUACGUUUUAGUGGAGCCUUAUAAAUAGCUCUUUGUGGGUUUGUUUUUGAGUGAGUACGGGAGAGAGAGAAAAGGUCUCUUGGGUGCCGUACCAGAGAGAGAAAAAGAGAGAGAGAGAGUUAUUUAGUGCACCUAGUGCAUGGGUGCGCACGGAUGAUUGUCUUCUUUAUGGGAUUAUAGAAGACGAGAGAAGGGUAGGAGAGAUUCAGAAAGAGAGCUCAGAUUGUAGCUACUCUAUGCAGAAAAGGAGUCAGGUGUAAUCUUCUCUUAUUUAAUGAAUCUUAUUUUACCCGCAUAUUUUCUGUUUUGGUAUUUCUCUCUUUUAUGAUUGUAUCAGUUUUUGUUGAGGAGACGGGUUUAUGGUAAAAACCCGAUUUGACGUUUCCGUUGCGGAAUCCCAACAAUCGAUACCGGAUCCACAGCAGUCGGUAUCGGAGCGGGUUG